GCCCUUGAGCGGAGCUUUCCGACUCCUGCUAAGCUAGCGCCGUGGUCCUCUCCUGUCAGCCGCCAUCAUGAUUAUCUACCGGGAUCUCAUCAGCCACAAUGAGAUGUUCUCUGACAUCUACAAGAUCCGGGAGAUCGAGGAUGGGCUGUGCCUGGAGGUGGAGGGGAUGAUGGUCAGUAGGACAGAAGGUAACAUUGAUGAUUUGCUCAUUGGUGGAAAUGCCUCCGCUGAAGGCCCCAAGGGCGAAGGUACCCAAAGCACAGUAAUCACUGGUGUCGUUAUUGUUAUGAACCAUCACCUGCAGGAAACAAAAUUUCACAAAGAAGCCUACAAGAAGUACAUCAAAGAUCACAUGAAAUCAAUCAAAGGCAAACUUGAAGAACAGAGACCAGAAAGAGUAAAACCUUUUAUGACAGGGGCUGCAGAACAAAUCAAGAACAUCCUUGCUAAUUUCAAAAACGACCAGUUCUUUACUGGUGAAAACAUUAAUCCAGAUGGAAUGGUUGCUCCAUUGGACUACCGUGAGGAUGGUGUGACCCCAUAUAUGAUUUUCUUUAAGGAUGGUUUAGAAAUGGAAAAAUGUUAACAAAUUUGGCAAUUACUUUGGAUCUAUCACCUGUCGUCAUAACUGGCUUCUGCUUGUCAUCCACACACCAAGACUUAA